CUUCAGAAGGCCCCAGCAAGGGGACCAGCCCAAUCUAGGGCAGAUCAGACUCCUCCUGAAGGGCCGGCAAGGAAGACGCCUUUCCCAAUCUGGAGGCUUCGAGCGGCAGGAGCCCGAGGUGGACACUGCCAUUAUCGCGCUUCUCAGACGGGGACACUGAGGCACGUAGAGGGAGUGACCGGCCUGGGGAGAGAGGUGUGCAUAACCCAGAGCCCCUCCAGCUCAGCAUCCGUCUGGAAAGCACACGUUCCCCCAUCGGGCCUGCUGGUGACAAGGGUCCUUGGAGCCUCUACUGAAGAAGGUGACAGGUGGCCAUGGCUUCGUGGCUCCUGGAGCCCAGGAUGCUCCAGCCCCCAGGGGACAGCCACCUGAGCCCCCCCCCCCCCCCCGCCCCCGGCUGAAACUGCCAUCAGACGGACCCCUCGGGCAGGCCUCAGGCCUUUUCCGUUUGGACCUCCGGAGCCGUGGCCCGCUGUGAACCUGGGGAAGGGCCGGCAGCGGGACAGGGGGGCAGCGGGACGGGGGACCCCUGCAGGGCAACUGCAGAGGCCUCCUUCCCCGCUCUGGCUCCCCACAGCCUUCCGUGCCUUCACCUGUCAACCUGGGAGGCCCCGGCACCCAAAUGAGCAAACUGUGGGGUCCGUCUGAGGGAGCAGUGGGACACAACCAUUCCGGAGUCAGACACGCCCUACAGGGAGCACCACCAGCGAGGGCACAAAGCCAGCCACAAACGCGAGUAUGCCUGCCGUGGGGUCCCCGCUGACGGCCGGCCGAGUCCAGCCAGAGGCAGAGCCGUUGGCCACCAGGGCCUGGGUGGGGCUGGGGGCGGAGGCUAAGGGGCAGCUGGUUUCCUUUGGAGGUGAUGAAGAGGUUCUAAAAUUCACCGUCAAGGCGGGUACACACAGCUGUGAAUAUACGCAAACCCACUGAAUUGCA